GAUGAACGCUGGCGGCGUGCCUAAUACAUGCAAGUCGAGCGAACGGACGAGAAGCUUGCUCUUCUGAUGUUAGCGGCGGACGGGUGAGUAACACGUGGAUAACCUACCUCUAAGACUGGGAUAACUUCGGGAAACCGGAGCUACUACCGGAUAAUAUUUUGAACCGCAUGGUUCAAAAGUGAAAGACGGUCUUGCUGUCACUUAUAGAUGGAUCCGCGUUGCAUUAGCUAGUUGGUAAGGUAACGGCUUACCAAGGCAACGAUGCAUAGCCGACCUGAGAGGGUGAUCGGCCACACUGGAACUGAGACACGGUCCAGACUCCUACGGGAGGCAGCAGUAGGGAAUCUUCCGCGAUGGGCGAAAGCCUGACGGAGCAACACCGCGUGAGUGAUGAAGGUCUUCGGAUCGUAAAACUCUGUUAUUAGGAAAGAACAUAAGUGUAUGUAACUGUGCACAUCUUGACGGUACCUAAUGAGAAAGCCACGGCUAACUACGUG
rnacentral:rRNA from 1 species